rnacentral:rRNA from 1 species
UUAAAGAAAGCGUAAUAGCUCACUGGUCGAGUCGGCCUGCGCGGAAGAUGUAACGGGGCUAAGUAGUAAACCGAAGCUGCGGCAAUGUGCUUUUGCACAUUGGGUAGGGGAGCGUUCUGUAAGCGGUUGAAGGUGUGUGGUAACGCAUGCUGGACGUAUCAGAAGUGCGAAUGCUGACAUGAGUAACGAUAAAGGGGGUGAAAAACCUCCUCGCCGGAAGACCAA